GAUUGGUAUCGGGACCCGGAUCCCGCGGGCGGGAGGAGCUGCUCUGGGGCGGGCGCUGGGGCCGAGUUCGGCCCUGCCGCUCCGGCUCCGGCCGGCGCGGGACUGCGGCCCCGCCGGGGCUCCGGGCACGGUCCCGCUCCGGCUGCGGGGAGCCGGGGCCGUGCCAGGGCUGUGCCGGGGCCGUGCCAGGGCUGUGCCGGGGCCAGCGGUGUUUUCCUCGUGCCUCGAUGUUCUGGGAGCCAGAGUGGCUGCCUUGCCCACCCACGUGCCCGUCCUUGGGCAGCCCCACGAGCACACCUGGCCUAGGAGCUGGCACUGAGCGUGCCGUGGGUCCCAGCACGGGCUGAUCCCAGCUCUGCCUUCGGCAUUUCCUGCCCUUCGUGCCUUUGGAACUUAGGGAAUUUCGAACAGCGACUUUUUCCCUGCCACCAAGAAGUUGCAGCUCCUCUGACAGCUGCCAGUUGGGGAAGGUCCUGCCUGGGAUGGAAAUGGCCACAAAAGAGGAAACUGAAAAAGGCCAAAACCAGAUGCUGCCACGUGAGUCAAGGCAGGGAAAGCCUCGGGAUGUUGAAGGUUUUAUUGUCCCGUGCUCCUGCACGGGGUGCCCGUCCUGUCUGGCGGCCCCGCGGCUUGAAACCUCUGCUGACGGCCAGUGCCAGCCUUGUUUCCUCCGAGGGACCCCACAGGGCCACCAGGAUGCCGCCAAAAUGGGAUCUUGGGGGCCCCAGUCCCCCCACAGCAUUAAAUGGCUCGAUCCUGGGGACCUUUUACAGGAGAGCAGCAAUUGCACGUGAAACUUUGAUGACCACUGAGAAAUGAGAGAAGCCUGUGAUAAAAAACCUUUUUUUAAAGAAUAAGACCAACAAUUUCUCUACAGCAGUUUAGCAGCUUCAAUUUCCAUUCUGUCCACAUGACACAGCAUCUAAUUCCAUCUCCUGAUCUGAUCUUGGCAAAAGGAAGAGUCACCUGCCCUCAGCAUAAAUAUUUAGUACAUAAAAUACUGACAAGAAACCCACUUUUAAUAAAUAUCUGCAGUUCUCACUCCUGUACACAAGUACUUUACAGCGACGCGCCGGGGGGAGCGCGGCCGGCGGGGCUGGGACAAGGUGGGAUGGACAUAAAUUAAUUAUUGCAGUCGGAUGCGCCGUGGGCGGGGAGGUUUGGAGUCGAUCCACGCUGGAAACAGAAAUCUCUCUCACGCCUUGAAAUCCACGCUUCCUGUCGGGAAAAAAAUCCUCAGUUUGGAGUCUUGUCGGCGCCUGUUCUGCCUGUGGGAGGCUGCUUCAGCACGGACAGGGAGCAGCUGGGAACCAGAACCCGCUUGGACUGGGACCAGGACAGCACUUGCAGUACCUACAGGGUCUGCACAAAGCAUCACAGUGAUGAUACCCAAAACAGCCCCAAAACCAUGGAUGUCCUCACCUGGGCACAGGGGCUGCCUCACCACAGGCCAGGAGCUCACCUGGCCACUGCCUUCUCCUGCUUUAAAAUAUCAGAUGGAGCCCAGCCUCAGGGUGGGUGAAAAUCAGCUGAAUUCCAGGGAACUCAGUAAAAUCCCCCACAGGGACACCAGUGGAGCUGGGGGAGAGGGUUAUAAAUAAAAUUCUAUGGAAUAUAA